rnacentral:lncRNA from 1 species
CUCCAGUCCUUUCAGCUUUGUGACCAUGUGAUUUCAACAGAGGCAUUUUGCUGAGGCAUUUACCUACAUUCUUCACUAUUGACUGAUUUCUGCCAGAUUUUAUCUUCUCCUCCCAUCGACUUCAUUUGAGCCACGUAACUGCAAAUGAUUGGUGUGAAAGAUACCCUGACUUCUACAGCAUUGGAGUAACUCCACCCAAUCUAAAAUCCAGUCAUUCCUAGGGGAAAAGAGAUGCAACCCUGAGACUUCACCUGAAAGAACAGAGGAUCUGAUAAUGCAGUUCUGAGGUAAAACCUCUCUUUAAAAUUGCUCCAUAUACAGCAAG